rnacentral:rRNA from 1 species
CAGCCGCCGCGGUAAAACGAAGGGGGCUAGCGUUGCUCGGAAUUACUGGGCGUAAAGGGAGCGUAGGCGGACAUUUAAGUCAGGGGUGAAAUCCCAGAGCUCAACUCUGGAACUGCCUUUGAUACUGGGUGUCUUGAGUGUGAUAGAGGUAUGUGGAACUCCGAGUGUAGAGGUGAAAUUCGUAGAUAUUCGGAAGAACACCAGUGGCGAAGGCGACAUACUGGAUCAUUACUGACGCUGAGGCUCGAAAGCGUGGGGAGCAAACAGGAUUAGAUACCCCCGUAGUCCCUGUCUCUUAUAC